GAUGAACGCUGGCGGCGUGCUUAACACAUGCAAGUCGAACGAUGAAAGCGGGAGCUUGCUCCUGCUGGAUUAGUGGCGAACGGGUGAGUAACACGUGAGCAAUCUGCCCCGAACUCUGGGAUAAGCGUUGGAAACGACGUCUAAUACCGGAUACGACGCGCGAAGGCAUCUUCUGCGCGUGGAAAGAAUUUCGGUUCGGGAUGAGCUCGCGGCCUAUCAGCUAGUUGGUGAGGUAGCGGCUCACCAAGGCGACGACGGGUAGCCGGCCUGAGAGGGUGACCGGCCACACUGGGACUCAGACACGGCCCAGACUCCUACGGGAGGCAGCAGUGGGGAAUAUUGCACAAUGGGCGCAAGCCUGAUGCAGCUACGCCGCGUGAGGGACGACGGCCUUCGGGUUGUACACCUCUUUUAGCAGGGAAGAAGCGAAAGUGACGGUACCUGCAGAAAAAGCACCGGCUAACUACGUGCCAGCCGCCGCCGUAACAC
rnacentral:rRNA from 1 species